UCUGUCUCAGCCAUUACACCUAUGCUCUCUCUAUCUCAAGUCCCUCCCUCUUUCUUUGGCAUCUCUCAGCUUCUCCACCAUUCUGUAUGUUAUCCUCUCCAGCACCUCCCAACUCGUCAUUCUCUUUAGCGCCAACAGUUGCUGCUCUUUCACCAGCUAGAGAAGCUUCAUUUAUCUUGCUGACUUGCAUCCAUGGGAUGGACACCUUUGGCGAGGGCUUGGCUAAGCUGAUUGACAAGAGCUUUGGCGAGAGCGACCCUUGUAGAUCUGGGCAACGGCUGCUCGGGGCUCGAGCGCGAGGGCUUGUUCGAGCCAACACUUGCCCAG
rnacentral:lncRNA from 1 species